AUGGUCCAGAUACUGUCCCUCAUCCACAGCAAAAAUGGGACUCUGAGUAGCAUGCCCUACAUACCAGCAGACUUCACAAACCUAAAGGCAAAGUACCAUAGAGAGAGCAGGUUGGCUGACAUAGAAGACACGAUAGCCUACUUCGAUGAGAAAGCGAAAGAAGAUCCAGAUUUCUUCUACAGGAUUAGAUUGGACGAUGAGGACCAUGUCAGGAACAUGUAUUGGGUGGAUGGUGCUGCAAGAAGAGCCUACAAACAUUUUCGAGAUUGCAUUUCAUUCAACACGACAUAUCUCACUAAUAUGUACAAGAUGCCAUGCACUCCAUUCAUAGGAAUAAAUAAGCACAAUCAGUCAUUGUAG
rnacentral:rRNA from 1 species